rnacentral:rRNA from 2 species
UGGGGAAUAUUGGACAAUGGGCGCAAGCCUGAUCCAGCCAUGCCGCGUGUGUGAAGAAGGCCUUAGGGUUGUAAAGCACUUUCAGCGAGGAGGAAGGGAUAGGCGUUAAUAGCGGCUAUUUUUGACGUUACUCGCAGAAGAAGCACCGGCUAACUCCGUGCCAGCAGCCGCGGUAAUACGGAGGGUGCAAGCGUUAAUCGGAAUUACUGGGCGUAAAGCGCACGUAGGCGGUUCGUUAAGUUGGAUGUGAAAGCCCCGGGCUCAACCUGGGAAUUGCAUUCAAAACUGGCAGACUAGAGUAUGUGAGAGGGGGGUAGAAUUCCAAGUGUAGCGGUGAAAUGCGUAGAGAUUUGGAGGAAUACCAGUGGCGAAGGCGGCCCCCUGGCACAAUACUGACGCUGAGGUGCGAAAGCGUGGGGAUCAAACAGG